CUAAAAAUAAAGAUUGAUUUAGGUUGCAAAUUAAUACAUCAAGAUUCCACUUGACAAUGUAAUGGCAAUGGGACAUCAAGUGAACACAAAAUAUUUUAGUAUAUAGGUACAAACGUUACAAAGGUCAGUAAAUAUGAAAAACGGGAAAAUCGAUACAAAUACCUAUUAAACAAAUAUUUAAAAUAUAUAUAUAAUGACUAUUUAAUUAUUUUAUCACAAUAUGAUAUAUAUAUAUAUAUUGAUGACAAAGCAACACUAUCAACUGAACUCCGCUCAGAAUCAUUUUUAGUAAACAAUAGUUUAUUGUUGCUUACAGAUA